AAUAAACUAAUCUUUUAAUAUUUACCUAUAAUGUUUGACUCUUCGUCUUAUUUGAAAAAAAUUUACGAUUAAUAUUUUUAUUUCUAUUAGAUAAUAAAUCAUAAAUAGUAUUUUACGUGUAACUAAUUUUUUAAAUUUUUUAAAUAAGACAAAUGAUCAAACGUUGUAUACACAAACCUAAAGUUUGUCUCAUU
rnacentral:pre_miRNA from 1 species